rnacentral:rRNA from 1 species
GGAUCGGCAUGUUGGUCGUGCCUUACGGGGUAUGUACUGGUCUCGGUGGUUCCUCCUUCUUGUAGAACCGUAAUGCCAUUAAUUUGGUGUUGCGGGAAAACAGGACUGUUACUUUGAAAAAAUUAGGGUGUUUAAAGCAGGCGAUCGCUUGAAUACAUUAGCAUGGAAUAAUGAAAUAGGACGUUCGAUCCUAUUUUGUUGGUUUCUAGGAUUGACGUA